rnacentral:rRNA from 1 species
UACGGGGGGAGCAAGCGUUGUUCGGAUUUACUGGGCGUAAAGGGCGGGUAGGCGGCCACCGCAAGUCGACUGUGAAAUCUCCGGGCUUAACCCGGAAAGGUCAGCCGAUACUGUGGGGCUAGAGUGCAGAAGGGGCAACUGGAAUUCUCGGUGUAGCGGUGAAAUGCGUAGAUAUCGAGAGGAACACCUGCGGCGAAGGCGGGUUGCUGGGCUGACACUGACGCUGAACUGCGAAAGCUAGGGGAGCGAACGGG